rnacentral:rRNA from 1 species
GAUUGAACGCUGGCGGCAUGCUUUACACAUGCAAGUCGAACGGUAACAGGCCGCAAGGUGCUGACGAGUGGCGAACGGGUGAGUAAUGCAUCGGAACGUGCCCAGUCGUGGGGGAUAACUACUCGAAAGAGUAGCUAAUACCGCAUACGAUCUAUGGAUGAAAGCGGGGGACCGUAAGGCCUCGCGCGAUUGGAGCGGCCGAUGUCAGAUUAGGUAGUUGGUGGGGUAAAGGCUCACCAAGCCAACGAUCUGUAGCUGGUCUGAGAGGACGACCAGCCACACUGGGACUGAGACACGGCCCAGACUCCUACGGGAGGCAGCAGUGGGGAAUUUUGGACAAAGGGCGCAAGCCUGAUCCAGCAAUGCCGCGUGCAGGAAGAGGGCCUUCGGGUUGUAAACUGCUUUUGUACGGAACGAAACGGCUCUGGUUAAUACCCGGGGCUAAUGACGGUACCGUAAGAAUAAGCACCGGCUAACUACGUG